rnacentral:lncRNA from 1 species
CUACUGGAUUUGAAUAUUAAGUGACCGCGUAUACCAGCUGCUUCUGUCUUCAAUUUUAAUCUAUAUAAAAAAUGUAAUUCAUUCAUCUUGGCUUACAUUUUGUAUAAUUUCAUAGUUUAUGCAUUAUAGUUAUAAAAACAAAUAAAUGUAGCCACUCACAUAGAAAUAGGCCUUAUCCUUUUCUGACAGUUUUAGGGAUUUUUUAAAAUCCUAAAAAACCUUAUUUGUGCUGCAAAUAAUAAUUUCAAACUCAAAAAGUAAAUAGUCAGUUCAUGCUUUAUAAAGCCUUGUCCCAAUAUUAAUAGUCAGUAGUAAGCAGUUUAUAAAUACAGCUAUAAAUAGCUUGUUUUUGGUUUAUAAGCACAUUUGUUAAAAAGGAGAGUAAAGGGUCAGUUAUCUUCCUAUGAAAAAUAAAAAAAUAAAAAUAAACAAACAACAACACUGAUUGAUACAGAACUCAGAAAUUCUAUUGUGGAUUUAUGAUAAAAUCAGCCUGUAAAUGAUUUCAUACUCCUCCAAGAAGACACAAGUAGUUCACACCAAACUUUUUUUAACAUGAAGCCAAUAUACUGAGAUGUUAAAUUGCGAAUGGGUUUAGGAUAGCUUAAAUGGUGUGGUCAUAGCGAUUUAUUAAAGUAACAUAAAAAAAAUACAAUAGUUAUUUUACUAUAUCUUUAAUUUUUUUCAUUCCAAACUCUUCAUAUUUUUUUAUAUACGUAGAAGUUAUCAUUUGAAGGAAGCACAGUAAGUUUAAUAGCUUUAUCAUUUUCAAGAGCCAGCAUAAAAUUAAAACUAUCAUAACUUAUAAAUGAAGCUUGCAAUUCUUAGUACCAAUAAUGGCCACCAGAUGGAGGUAUAGGAUUACUUUUAAAUAAUUAUUGUAGAAACAAGUAUGAUUUAAAUCAUUUAUAGAAAUCUUUCAAAGAAAAAUAAUAUGAAUUUUAUGUAUUUACUGAUAAAAUGACCCUCACUUUAUUAGAAUAACAAGCUGAAAUAUUGUGAACUGUAUAUUAAGAAUAAUUCUUUAUAGGCUU